UCCAAAAAUAGUCCGCCAACAAGAUUGACCCGAGAGCAACACAAACACAAUUCACGGCUAACAUAUUCAUUUUGAACCUCGGCUUCCUCUCCAUCUUGAGUUUUGGCUUCAAUCUUAUCCGACUCAAGUUUUCUUCCAUCAUAUAAGCAUUGUCGUAGGAUCCAUAUCCUUCAUAUCCCUCUCUACCAUGUUCCUCUUCUUGGAUGUGUAGGCUUAGGCAAAGUGGAGUUUCGAUUGAGAGGAUUGAUUUGGUAAAGUGGACUGUUUUAGUAAUGUGGAGGUUCGGUUGUGAAGCUUGGAUGGAAGGAAAUUGGCUUACAAGUCCUUAUUGUUGGAUUUUAUCAACUAGCGGGGGGAGGGGUCUACCUUGUUCUCGGUUUUGUGGGUAAUUUGUAGCUUGGCUUAUGACAUUUUGUGGUGAACUUGGAGGAUUGGCUUUUGUAGGUAAAGUUUUGGGAGUAAAAGCAUGAGAGUUCCUUCGUCUCUCCAUUCAAUCCAACCGCUCACCCAUAGUUACCACAUUCGAGUAAAUGUUUUCAAGACCCACAUUUUCCCUAACAAAGACUCUGGACAUAGCAUCAACGAGGACCAAAAUGGUGUCCAUUAUGCCAAAGGAGUUACCUACAAAAACAGAAAACACAUUAGUUGUACAAAAACAUCCCCACUCUCUCUUAUUAUUUCUUGACUCUUGGAUCCUCACAGUUAAUCUCACAAAUGUUGCAAGCUUGCUUGUACUUCGAGUGAUGUUGAGAGGUGAAUCUAACGUUGACAAGGACUCCAAGGAGUAAGGAAAACACAAAGACGUAUUACAAUGACUCAAAGAAUUAAAACACACAAAGAAAAGUUAACACGAAGAAUGGUUUCAAAACUAACUCACAAUCUAGUACUAGCUUGUAAAUUAGAUUUAGAAUCAACAAACGAAACUAAUGACACAAAAUGAAACUAAAAGAUCAAAAAUUGAGCUUAAAAUUUGUUGGUGAACAGUAAUUUGUGAUGUGGCAGUCCGUGAUUGGCCUCGAUUCUCAACAAUUUUAUUUUCCAAAUUGGAAAGUCUUGAUCAAUUUUUACAAUUUUCACUUUACUGUAACUUGUUCCAUGAAGGCAAACACAAACUAGUCUUUGGAGUUUCUUUUUCAAUUCAAAUUUCAAGACUCAAAAGUAUUGGACUAGAAUUGUACUCCUCCUUAAAACAUGGAUCGUUGUUUUAUGGGAAAGUGGUUGACAUGUGAUUGACUAAUUGGUGAGUGAUGGCAAGUCUUUCAAGACUAAAAAAGUUGUUACACUUUUCCUUCACCUUUUGGGGUCUAACUUUCACUUUAUUUUAACAAGGUAUGAAGGAUUGGAAGAAAAUCAAAAACACUUCAACAAUCACCAAUAAAAUAAACAACAAUCUCUCAAGACAACAAGGUCAACUACAAAAUUCCAACAAACGGCCAUGUACUUUAGUGUGGUAUUUUGGUCUUAACAAGGGGUGAAGAUUGUGAUGAACAACAAGAAUACAACAAAUUUUCAAGAACAAUAACAACACCAACAACGUCCUGCACAAGUCCACAAGAAAGGUCACUACACGACCAAGAAUAACAACAUCAACUUCUUUUGGAAAGGCUCUGAUAUCAAACAAUACGGGAAAGACAACAGAAGGCUCAAAAACUACUCAAAAUAGUCCACAAAUCAACUAGAACCUGAGGACCACUUUGAGAGCAACUUUUAGCCAAUAAUAACAACACAAGGAUUACAAGAUACAAGGUGUAUUUUAACACCAAAACAGCAACAAUGACACAAGAUGAAACAAUUCACGGAUUCAACACAAACACAAGGGAAAUUGCAUAGAAAAUAAAGAUAGAUAGUGAGACCAAGAUUAUUACAAGAUUAAGAACCAAGUGUAUUUCAACACUAACCCCUAAUGAAUGUAACAAUCAAAACCACACUCUUACGGUGACCACCUACGGAAUGAACUCACCUCAAGACCAACCAUUUCCAAGCAAAGAUCAAUAUUGGCUUUUCCAAUCCCUAUGCUAAGGAUGACUUUUCCAAGCCUUACAACUAAAGGUGUUACACUCUCAAAAGAGAGAAAAUAUGUCUUUCAAUACUUCAUCAUUCAAAAUCUGCCCAAGUUUCCAUCAUGACUAUUUUCAUAGCCUUCGCAAUCUCCCUCAACUUCGUAGCCAUAAAACCCCUCACUACAACCAUAGUCUCCCAUGUUGUAGUCACAAUAAUCCCCGGCUAUCGAAGACAUAUUCCCCUUAUAUCACCUUUUGAACCUUCAAAAUGAACAAACAAGAUUAGUAGUAAAGCUCCUCACCAACACUCAUAUUCACUCACUUUUGUGAUCCUCACAAUUUGGAGCGGCGAAUAUUGAAAGUUGCUUAUACUCCGGUAGUCAAUAGGAUAUCAAUUCUACUUGGCGGCCGGAAUAUAUUCUUGUUUGAUCGACUCAAAACAAAAAGCAAAAUCUACUUAAGAACUUGAAACAAAGAAGUUACUACGAGUUAAAAAUGAGAAAAGCACACAAAUAUCGAAGACACGAAGAAACGGACUCAACAACUAAUCUACAACUAAGUAGGUGACUAAUAGUUGCUAAUUAGUAUUAGAACCAACAACGAAACUAAGGGACGGUAAAAAAAUGCAACUAAGAAUCUAAAAGUUUAAGCUAGAAAAUAUUGUGUGAACAGUAGUAGUGAUGAUGUGACAGCCACGUAUUGGUUCAGUUUUAUCAAGUCUUAAUCACUAUUCUUGAAAUUUUUAUUCAUUAUAAUUUUG
rnacentral:lncRNA from 1 species